GACGAACGCUGGCGGCGUGCUUAACACAUGCAAGUCGAACGGAAAGGCCCUGCUUUUGUGGGGUGCUCGAGUGGCGAACGGGUGAGUAACACGUGAGUAACCUGCCCUUGACUUUGGGAUAACUUCAGGAAACUGGGGCUAAUACCGGAUAGGAGCUCCUGCUGCAUGGUGGGGGUUGGAAAGUUUCGGCGGUUGGGGAUGGACUCGCGGCUUAUCAGCUUGUUGGUGGGGUAGUGGCUUACCAAGGCUUUGACGGGUAGCCGGCCUGAGAGGGUGACCGGCCACAGUGGGACUGAGAUACGGCCAAGACUCCUACGGGAGGCAGCAGUGGGGAAGAUUGAACAAUGGGCGGAAGCCUGAUGCAGCAACGCCGCGUGCGGGAGGACGGCCUUCGGGUUGUAAACCGCUUUCGCCUGUGACGAAGCGUGAGUGACGGUAAUGGGUAAAGAAGCACCGGCUAACUACGUG
rnacentral:rRNA from 1 species